GUUACCAGCACGUUAUGGUGGGCACUCUAAGGAGACUGCCGGUGGACAACCGGAGGAAGGUGGGGAAUGACGUCAAGUCAUCAUGGCCCUUACGGCCUGGGCUACACACGUGCUACAAUGGUCGGUACAAAGGGUUGCCAAGCCGCGAGGUGGAGCUAAUCCCAUAAAACCGAUCGUAGUCCGGAUCGCAGUCUGCAACUCGACUGCGUGAAGUCGGAAUCGCUAGUAAUCGUGAAUCAGAAUGUCACGGUGAAUACGUUCCCGGGCCUU
rnacentral:rRNA from 1 species